AUGCACGCUGGCGGCGUGCUUAACACCUGCAAGUCGAACGGGAAACCUUUUAUUGAAGCUUCGGCAGAUUUAGCUGGUUUCUAGUGGCGGACGGGUGAGUAACGCGUGGGUAACCUGCCUUAUACAGGGGGAUAACAACCAGAAAUGGUUGCUAAUACCGCAUAAGCGCACAGGACCGCAUGGUCCGGUGUGAAAAACUCCGGUGGUAUAAGAUGGACCCGCGUUGGAUUAGCUAGUUGGCAGGGUAACGGCCUACCAAGGCGACGAUCCAUAGCCGGCCUGAGAGGGUGAACGGCCACAUUGGGACUGAGACACGGCCCAGACUCCUACGGGAGGCAGCAGUGGGGAAUAUUGCACAAUGGGGGAAACCCUGAUGCAGCGACGCCGCGUGAAGGAAGAAGUAUCUCGGUAUGUAAACUUCUAUCAGCAGGGAAGAUAGUGACGGUACCUGACUAAGAAGCCCCGGCUAACUACGUG
rnacentral:rRNA from 1 species